rnacentral:rRNA from 1 species
UUAAGUUAGAAAGGGCGCACGGUGGAUGCCUUGACACUAGGAGUCGAUGAAGGACGGGACUAACGCCGAUAUGCUUCGGGGAGCUGUAAGUAAGCUUUGAUCCGAAGAUUUCCGAAUGGGGAAACCCACCAUACGUAAUGGUAUGGUAUCCUUAUCUGAAUACAUAGGGUAAGGAAGACAGACCCAGGGAACUGAAACAUCUAAGUACCUGGAGGAAGAGAAAGCAAAUGCGAUUUCCUGAGUAGCGGCGAGCGAAACGGAACAUAGCCCAAACCAAGAGGCUUGCCUCUUGGGGUUGUAGGACAUUCUAUACGGAGUUACAAAGGAACGAGGUAGACGAAGCGACCUGGAAAGGUCCGUCGUAGAGGGUAACAACCCCGUAGUCGAAACUUCGUUCUCUCUUGAAUGUAUCCUGAGUACGGCGGAACACGUGAAAUUCCGUCGGAAUCUGGGAGGACCAUCUCCCAAGGCUAAAUACUCCCUAGUGAUCGAUAGUGAACCAGUACCGUGAGGGAAAGGUGAAAAGCACCCCGGAAGGGGAGUGAAAGAGAUCCUGAAACCGUGUGCCUACAAAUAGUCAGAGCCCGUUAACGGGUGAUGGCGUGCCUUUUGUAGAAUGAACCGGCGAGUUACGAUCCCGUGCGAGGUUAAGCUGAAGAGGCGGAGCCGCAGCGAAAGCGAGUCUGAAUAGGGCGUUUAGUACGUGGUCGUAGACCCGAAACCAGGUGAUCUACCCAUGUCCAGGGUGAAGUUCAGGUAACACUGAAUGGAGGCCCGAACCCACGCACGUUGAAAAGUGCGGGGAUGAGGUGUGGGUAGCGGAGAAAUUCCAAUCGAACCUGGAGAUAGCUGGUUCUCCCCGAAAUAGCUUUAGGGCUAGCCUUAAGUGUAAGAGUCUUGGAGGUAGAGCACUGAUUGGACUAGGGGUCCUCAUCGGAUUACCGAAUUCAGUCAAACUCCGAAUGCCAAUGACUUAUCCUUAGGAGUCAGACUGCGAGUGAUAAGAUCCGUAGUCAAAAGGGAAACAGCCCAGACCGCCAGCUAAGGUCCCAAAGUGUGUAUUAAGUGGAAAAGGAUGUGGAGUUGCUUAGACAACUAGGAUGUUGGCUUAGAAGCAGCCACCAUUUAAAGAGUGCGUAAUAGCUCACUAGUCGAGUGACUCUGCGCCGAAAAUGUACCGGGGCUAAAUACACCACCGAAGCUGCGGAUUGAUACCAAUGGUAUCAGUGGUAGGGGAGCGUUCUAAGGACAGUGAAGUCAGACCGGAAGGACUGGUGGAGUGCUUAGAAGUGAGAAUGCCGGUAUGAGUAGCGAAAGACGGGUGAGAAUCCCGUCCACCGAAUGCCUAAGGUUUCCUGAGGAAGGCUCGUCCGCUCAGGGUUAGUCAGGACCUAAGCCGAGGCCGACAGGCGUAGGCGAUGGACAACAGGUUGAUAUUCCUGUACCACCUCUUUAUCGUUUGAGCAAUGGAGGGACGCAGAAGGAUAGAAGAAGCGUGCGAUUGGUUGUGCACGUCCAAGCAGUUAGGCUGAUAAGUAGGCAAAUCCGCUUAUCGUAAAGGCUGAGCUGUGAUGGGGAAGCUCCUAUGGAGCGAAGUCUUUGAUUCCCCGCUGCCAAGAAAAGCUUCUAGCGAGAUAAAAGGUGCCUGUACCGCAAACCGACACAGGUAGGCGAGGAGAGAAUCCUAAGGUGUGCGAGAGAACUCUGGUUAAGGAACUCGGCAAAAUGACCCCGUAACUUCGGGAGAAGGGGUGCUUUCUUAACGGAAAGCCGCAGUGAAUAGGCCCAAGCGACUGUUUAGCAAAAACACAGCUCUCUGCGAAGCCGUAAGGCGAAGUAUAGGGGGUGACACCUGCCCGGUGCUGGAAGGUUAAGGAGAGGGGUUAGCGUAAGCGAAGCUCUGAACUGAAGCCCCAGUAAACGGCGGCCGUAACUAUAACGGUCCUAAGGUAGCGAAAUUCCUUGUCGGGUAAGUUCCGACCCGCACGAAAGGUGUAACGAUUUGGGCACUGUCUCAACCAGAGACUCGGUGAAAUUAUAGUACCUGUGAAGAUGCAGGUUACCCGCGACAGGACGGAAAGACCCCGUGGAGCUUUACUGUAGCCUGAUAUUGAAUUUUGGUACAGUUUGUACAGGAUAGGCGGGAGCCUUUGAAACCGGAGCGCUAGCUUCGGUGGAGGCGCUGGUGGGAUACCGCCCUGACUGUAUUGAAAUUCUAACCUACGGGUCUUAUCGACCCGGGAGACAGUGUCAGGUGGGCAGUUUGACUGGGGCGGUCGCCUCCUAAAGUGUAACGGAGGCGCCCAAAGGUUCCCUCAGAAUGGUUGGAAAUCAUUCGUAGAGUGCAAAGGCAUAAGGGAGCUUGACUGCGAGACCUACAAGUCGAGCAGGGACGAAAGUCGGGCUUAGUGAUCCGGUGGUUCCGCAUGGAAGGGCCAUCGCUCAACGGAUAAAAGCUACCCCGGGGAUAACAGGCUUAUCUCCCCCAAGAGUCCACAUCGACGGGGAGGUUUGGCACCUCGAUGUCGGCUCAUCGCAUCCUGGGGCUGUAGUCGGUCCCAAGGGUUGGGCUGUUCGCCCAUUAAAGCGGUACGCGAGCUGGGUUCAGAACGUCGUGAGACAGUUCGGUCCCUAUCCGUCGUGGGCGUAGGAAAUUUGAGAGGAGCUGUCCUUAGUACGAGAGGACCGGGAUGGACGCACCGCUGGUGUACCAGUUGUUCUGCCAAGGGCAUAGCUGGGUAGCUAUGUGCGGAAGGGAUAAGUGCUGAAAGCAUCUAAGCAUGAAGCCCCCCUCAAGAUGAGAUUUCCCAUAGCGUAAGCUAGUAAGAUCCCUGAAAGAUGAUCAGGUUGAUAGGUUCGAGGUGGAAGCAUGGUGACAUGUGGAGCUGACGAAUACUAAUAGAUCGAGGACUUAACCAU